AAUCCACUGUUUUCUAUUCCCCUUUUUUUUUUUGAGAGAAUACGGCACUUCAUUGAUUACGAAACAUCGUUACAUAGAGAGUUUCCCGGAUACAGCAGCGCCGUAUUGCGCCGGGUGAGAUUCCGCCGGAGAUAAUCGACGCGGCCGGGCUCGCAGCGGCCGUCCUCGCCCCAUGCACGCGAGGGAAGCUGCGGCGGCGGUCUCGUCGGUAGCGGGCUUUCCUUUGCGGCGCGGACAGCCCGCGCUCCUUCUUUACCGACGUACACCUGUGGCUCCUCUUCCGCCUGUUCGUUGCCAGCUCCCCCAACUCGCCGCUGUGCUUCGACGAUCUCACCGCCAGCGACGCGGCCUUUCUUGAACUCCUCUCCCUCGCCGGGCCGCUCCUCGCAGCCGUCUCCGCCGCGGAUCACCGCCCCCUUCUUCUGUUCACAUUCCCGCCCAAGGUGCAAUGAUCGGCUCGGUUGCGUGCUAUCGUCAACCGCGCCCUCCUCUUAUCUGGUGAUCCGCCGCUCCUUGCCGACCGGGUCGGCUCUAAACUCAAUCUCUGAGUGUUCGAGUAGGCAGUACAGAGUACUACCUCCUCUGGUUCUUGUAGACUCGUGCAGUUCUGGCUUGUCAGGGGUGAUUUCUUGCCGCUGCCUGUGAAGACUUGCCGUGCCUAUUGGUUGCCUUUCCUGUCACCUGCUCUACAUUUUUGAAGAUACUGCCUGCACUAGGACUUGGUGAUGCAGUGAAGCUGUUGGUGUUGUAUUUGGCAUGUUUGGACACUUGGAUGCACACAAUGCGUUUGACGGAAUGCUCUGAAGGAAGUAGUCAUGUGACCGUCCAGCUGCUAUUGGGAAUCCAUUGAUGCAACAUUGUAUCGGUUUGUACAAAAGACGUUCUUGUUCAACACCUGGGGUGCAGACAUAAAAGAAACGGAGACACUGCCCAGGUUUUUUCCGCAUGGAUGGUGUAUAUGGAACCAUGGAAGUCCAGUAAGAGGAUUUGAAUAGAUAUUAUCUGACAUCUCCAGGUGGGUGAAAUGUGCACAGUGUUAGUGAUUGUCUGACAGAAAGAGGCAAGGGUGUAAAUGUGUAAUGCAGUGCAUAUCCUGCAUGGCAGAGCUUUGUGCUGUCCAAGUAUUUGUUCUGCAGACUAUCGGUACAGUGAUGGAGUCAGAAAUUCAGCAGGAGGGGAGCGAAAUUAGAGAACCAAGCUCAUCUAUAAUUGAUCUGAGUUAUUAGGUAAAAAGAAAAUUGGUGGGAGGGGCAAAGCAUAUUUUUCAUAAGUUUAUCCAUUCUGAUAUCACCUGAGUGCUGCAAAUGCUACGAAAGGUUAGUAAAGAAUUAUGCACCAUAUAUUCCAGAAUUGUAUAGCUGUAUGUCUAGUCAAUGUUUGGAUAAAUGUUUUGCAACACCAAGGACCAGCUUGUGCUGAAUUCGAUUACAUUGCUAACGCUUUAAUCCUCUGUUUUUCUGGCAUCAUGCAUUUUCAAAUAUCAGUGCAGCAGAACUGGCCCAAAAUAUGCUAACCUGACGUGGUGAUCAAAUUAAACUUUUUUGCUUAGUGGGGUGGGGAACUUAUAUUUGGAAAUCUAUAAUUCAAUUAAUCUGAGCUUUUUGGUUACUUUGCUCACAUUCAGGAUUGAACUAUAUCCGUCCGUGGAAUCUUGCCUUGAUGCCUUUGUUUGAUGCCAUGCGUAUUUUACUAUUUUCCUGGACAAUUCUGAAUUUUGAAAAAUGCACCAAUUAGUUCUUUUUAUUCAAAUCACAUCAGGAAUGUCAAGAAAAUUGGACCUUUUAGGAAAUGAUAAUUGUUGAGAUAAUGGCCAUUUGCGUUUUAGCUGUUGUUUGCAUUCAGGUAUUGGAUGUUUUGAGUUCCUUGGAAUUAUUCAGGCUUAUCUACAAAAUUGUUGCUGCUUCUCAUUCAAAAUUUUCUGAUUCCCUGUCAUGCUAUCUGGAUCAUGUGCUCAAGUGUGUGCCAACAAUCUAUAAGCAGCUACAGUUCAGAAGUGGAAUACAUUGAAUACCAUUAGCUGUUUCCUUCAAGAAUUUCAAGACUGGGAGGACAGCUUGUUAGGUCUUGAUACCGAUGGGCCUUAAUUGCAUAUGCCUGGCAAUUCUCUAUUCUAAGGCUUUUCAGCUUUGAUGAGGAUGGGCUUAGAACUUGCUUCAGGUGAUGCUAUGCGAACUAUCCAGAAUUUGGAUAUGAUCAAAUCUAAUACAAAACAGGUAUUCUACAAGCAUGUUGAAAUCCUGGGAUCCAGGCAAAGGUACUUCAAUAGGGAGAUCACAAUCAGCAUCAUGAACGUGGUGAGCUAUUCGCACCUAAGCUUCCAUUUCCAUGCAAAAGCUCAUUGGCCGAUAUGAAAUAUAGCGGUGAUUGGAUGAUGAGGCCCAUCUCAGACACUAAGUUGGCAUGGCUUGCAAGGUUUCAGAUCAGUUUCUCAGCUUGUCUGAAUGAGACCCUUCGGCUUGACCAUGCCGAUGCAGAUGUUAUCACCAUGGGCCCAACAAUCAUCCAGUCUGAUCGAAAUGAACCUAGCAGAGUUGGUGGCCCAAAGGAUGCUCCCAAAUUGGCACUUGUUGGUGUUUUCAUAUUGCUUGUGAUGGUGUGAUAACGGAUCCUGCACUUCAUGAGGAUGCACAGGAUUAAGAUCAAUCUGAGAAUUUUUGCAUCCAGAAACCUCCUGCCAGCUGUUAUGCUGUAUGUGAUGUUCACUGGAGCAAAAAAAUAUGUUGUCUUGAGUUCGGCAUCUCAUCCUCCUACUGCUGAUGCUUUCCAAGUAGUUGCUUAAACUGAAUUUUUCCCUUAGUAGACGUGUUACAUAUGACUUACAGUAACUAAUAGAAAAAACUUACAGAAAAAUCUUUGGUGACUCUUUCAACCUUGUUGUGCUAUCUGGUGCUUAUUGCUGUGCUGACAUCACACUGGAAGGUGUGCAUGCAUGUUUCUUCAUGUGCUCUAGUCAGACAAAACUUUGGUGUAAGAAAAUAAUCUGGGGAGUUAGAAUUGCAUGCUGUAACAAAAGCAGAGCUUUAAUAAAAUCCAGAUAUCACAUUCUCAGAGUUAUUAUCAUGACCAAUUAUCAUGUGUUAAUUAUUGUUCUGAUAGAGAAGUUAAUGU